UACGUAGGGUGCAAGCGUUGUCCGGAAUUAUUGGGCGUAAAGAGCUCGUAGGCGGUUUGUCGCGUCUGCUGUGAAAACCCGAGGCUCAACCUCGGGCCUGCAGUGGGUACGGGCAGACUAGAGUGCGGUAGGGGAGAUUGGAAUUCCUGGUGUAGCGGUGGAAUGCGUAGAUAUCAGGAGGAACACCAAUGGCGAAGGCAGAUCUCUGGGCCGUAACUGACGCUGAGGAGCGAAAGCAUGGGGAGCGAACAGG
rnacentral:rRNA from 1 species